UGGAUAACUGUGGUAAUUCUAGAGCUAAUACAUGCAAACAGAGCUCCGACCGGAGACGGAAGGAGUGCUUUUAUUAGAUCAAAACCAAUCGGUGGCGGGUUCGCCCGUUAUCGUACAACUUGGUGACUCUGAAUAACUUUACGCUGAUCGCACGGUCAUCGCACCGGCGACGCGUCUUUCAAAUGUCUGCCUUAUCAACUGUCGAUGGUAGGUUCUGCGCCUACCAUGGUUGUAACGGGUAACGGGGAAUCAGGGUUCGAUUCCGGAGAGGGAGCCUGAGAAACGGCUACCACAUCCAAGGAAGGCAGCAGGCGCGCAAAUUACCCACUCCCGGCACGGGGAGGUAGUGACGAAAAAUAACGAUACGGGACUCAUCCGAGGCCCCGUAAUCGGAAUGAGUACACUCUAAACCCUUUAACGAGGAUCAAUUGGAGGGCAAGUCUGGUGCC
rnacentral:rRNA from 1 species